CCUACGGGUGGCUGCAGUGGGGAAUAUUGGACAAUGGGCGAAAGCCUGAUCCAGCCAUGCCGCGUGUGUGAAGAAGGCCUUCGGGUUGUAAAGCACUUUCAGUGGGGAAGAAAGCCUUGGGGCUAAUACCCUCGAGGAAGGACAUCACCCACAGAAGAAGCACCGGCUAACUCCGUGCCAGCAGCCGCGGUAAUACGGAGGGUGCGAGCGUUAAUCGGAAUUACUGGGCGUAAAGCGCGCGUAGGUGGUCUGAUAAGCCGGUUGUGAAAGCCCCGGGCUCAACCUGGGAACGGCAUCCGGAACUGUCAGGCUAGAGUGCAGGAGAGGAAGGUAGAAUUCCCGGUGUAGCGGUGAAAUGCGUAGAGAUCGGGAGGAAUACCAGUGGCGAAGGCGGCCUUCUGGACUGACACUGACGCUGAGGUGCGAAAGCGUGGGUAGCAAACAGGAUUAGAUACCCCAGUAGUC
rnacentral:rRNA from 1 species